CAAAAACAUUGCCUUUUGAAAAUAUAUAAAAGGUAAAACCUGCCCAGUGAUUUACGAAUUUAACGGCCGCGGUACCCUGACCGUGCUAAGGUAGCAUAUAAUACGCCCUUUAAUUGUGGGCUAGUAUGAAUGGAUUAACGAGAGUAAAGCUGUCUCUAAAGUAUGUAAAAAAAUUGCCAUUUAGGUGAAGAGGCCUAAAUUAUAAUAAAAGACAAAAAGACCCUGUAGAGCUUUAUCAAUUCACUUUCGAGAAAAAUUAUCCUAUAUAAUUUCUUCUAUAUAUUCUGAUUUAACUGGGGCGGUUAAGGAGCAAAUACCCUCCUUUCCCUAAAAGGAUUCAAACCUAUUAUUUGAUCCUUAAUUGAUUAAAGAAAUAAGCUACCUCAGGGAUAACAGGCUUAUACCUCCUGAGAGCACUUAUCGAAGGAGGAUUUUGGCACCUCGAUGUUGGCUUAGAGGACCCUAAGGAUAGUAGAAGUCCUUAAAGGCAGGUUUGUUCAACCUUUAAACCUCUACGUGAUCUGA
rnacentral:rRNA from 1 species